rnacentral:rRNA from 1 species
UCAGAGUGAACGCUGGCGGUAGGCCUAACACAUGCAAGUCGAACGGCAGCACAGUAAGAGCUUGCUCUUAUGGGUGGCGAGUGGCGGACGGGUGAGGAAUACAUCGGAAUCUACCUUUUCGUGGGGGAUAACGUAGGGAAACUUACGCUAAUACCGCAUACGACCUUCGGGUGAAAGCAGGGGACCUUCGGGCCUUGCGCGGAUAGAUGAGCCGAUGUCGGAUUAGCUAGUUGGCGGGGUAAAGGCCCACCAAGGCGACGAUCCGUAGCUGGUCUGAGAGGAUGAUCAGCCACACUGGAACUGAGACACGGUCCAGACUCCUACGGGAGGCAGCAGUGGGGAAUAUUGGACAAUGGGCGCAAGCCUGAUCCAGCCAUACCGCGUGGGUGAAGAAGGCCUUCGGGUUGUAAAGCCCUUUUGUUGGGAAAGAAAAGCAGUCGAUUAAUACUCGGUUGUUCUGACGGUACCCAAAGAAUAAGCACCGGCUAACUUCGUGCCAGCAGCCGCGGUAAUACGAAGGGUGCAAGCGUUACUCGGAAUUACUGGGCGUAAAGCGUGCGUAGGUGGUUGUUUAAGUCUGUUGUGAAAGCCCUGGGCUCAACCUGGGAAUUGCAGUGGAUACUGGACGACUAGAGUGUGGUAGAGGGUAGUGGAAUUCCCGGUGUAGCAGUGAAAUGCGUAGAGAUCGGGAGGAACAUCCAUGGCGAAGGCAGCUA